rnacentral:rRNA from 1 species
UACGAAGGGUGCAAGCGUUAAUCGGAAUUACUGGGCGUAAAGCGUGCGUAGGUGGUUUGUUAAGUCUGCUGUGAAAGCCCUGGGCUCAACCUGGGAAUGGCGGUGGAUACUGACAAGCUAGAGUGCGGUAGAGGAGGGUGGAAUUCCCGGUGUAGCGGUGAAAUGCGCAGAUAGUCGGGAGAACACCCGAUGGCGAAGGCG